CAUUUCAAAAAACGUAAUAGGCUUGUUUAUUUAGUUUUCAAAAGGACUAACUAUAGAUUAAUGUUAUAUUCAAAAGAGUAAUCACUUUAGCAUUACCAUUAGUCUCACUUUUCAAAUAAAUACCCUCACUCUCACCAUUUCUCUGUUUCGUCUCGUGAUACCUUUUUGAUUUUUCAUCUCUCUCAUGAUUCAACCUUAUGAUUCUUCUAGUUUCUCUCAUCUUGCAAUCAGUGGAGAUUCUAGCCACGAUUUUGUUCUCGGACGAUCAACGAGAGGCUUCUCGACAAAUUUGUUUUCCGACGAAGCUUAUAGAGAAUUUAUUCUCAAACGAUCAACGAGGCUUCUUCUAGUUUCUCUCAUCUUGCAAUCAAUGGCAAUUCUAGCCACAAUUUUGUUCUCAGACGAUCGACGAGACUUCUCAGCGAAUUUGAUUUCUGAUGUAUAGAUGGGACUUCUCAAUGAAUCUGGUUUGUUUUAGGUAGCUAAAUCCCUAAAAAUCUAUAGUUCAACUUUACAACAAAGCUUGAAUUUGUAGUCAUUGCUACAUCGCUCACAAAAUUCAACUUCACUACCACUAAUGCCGACAUCACUAUCCAAAAUCCAUGGCAAUAGUGAUAUGUGUUGUAUUGUUCAGAUUUGGACUGUUUGGGAAUAAGAAUGAUUAAGAGUGCAUGUUUGUAUGUAGGCUAAAUUCAUAUAUAUAGAGUAUAUUUGUGUCAAUUUGUCUGUAAGUUUUGUUAGUCUUACUACUUAAGUUGGUCUUGUUUGCUUGUUUGAAUGUAUUACUAAGCUUUUCUCAAAUAAUGCAUAAUAACUGUUUGAUGGAAUGCUUCAGUGAGAUAAAUGAGUGAAUUGAAUUAUUUUUAUAGCUUUUUUUUAAUCUGCUUAUGUGAUGGGGUAUCGAUUCCUUCUGCCCACUCCCGUCGUGUCCCUCUACUUCUAUGCAUUACUACUCCUUUAUUUUUCAAAGCCUUUUUAUAAUCCCUACAAAAGUUUGCAUUCUCCAAGUCUUGCUAAACUCUAGAGUGCUGCUAAUAUAUUUUGCACUUCCUUUUGUACCUAUUCUUAUUGUGCUAAUCUCUAUCCCAAGAUUUGUAUAUAUGACGAAUUGAAGACACAAGAAUUAGAAAAAAAGUAUGAUCAAUUCAUAUUGGACUCUUCAUUAAAAACAGAGCAGAGAGACACAAAAAGUAUGAUCAAUUCAUAUUGGACUCUGCAGCACUGUCAAACGACGUCGUCACAGUCCAGGAGUACUGGAUUCCAACUCCAGAACAAAUACUCAUUGGCUUCACUCACUUUUCUUGCCAUGUUUGCUUCAAAACAUUUAACCGCUACAACAAUCUUCAGUGCUGUUGGGAGCAAUUUUGAGGUCAGGCCAGAGCAGAUUUUCUGGAAAAGUCAAUGAGUUUCAAGUUCCAAUAACCAGAAUCCCAUCAAAAGAGAAAGGGCAUCCUCAUGUUCUUGUUUAUUGGAUUUAUGGAACUAAUGGAGACAGUUUUAAAGGCAAUAUAUCAUCCAAGAAAUCGGUACCUGCUGGAGCUUGAUUCUGGUUCUUCAGACAAUGAAAGAGAGAGUUUAGCACUUUCUGUUCAAUCAGAAAAAGCGUUUCAAGCCUUUGCCAAUGUUGAUGUUAUUGGAAAGAGUUAUACACUCAACGAGAUUGGAUUCUCAGCUCUGGCGGCCACACUUCACGCUGCAGCGUUGUUUCUGAAGAUUAAUGCAGAUUGGGACUGGUUUAUCACAUUAAGUGCUGCUGAUUAUCCACUCAUGACUCAGGAUGGAGGAUGGGAAAAUUGUGAAGACAGGAGACAUCAACAUAGCAAAAAUUCUUGAGAAAGAAGGAUACAAAGGAAUUUCUAUUGCAUAACUGCGAAGAAUGGGUUGACACUCAUGGCUAAUGAAAGGAAUAGAAAGCUUUCAAGGAUCGAAAAACAAAGAGAGAAUGAGUCUCUUGCACCUUUGAAGCACAAGCGAAAGCAUAGACUUCAAAUCAUUGAGAAUUAUUGGAUGCGUGCAAUUAAUAAAGAGAUAGUAUUGGAAAAAUGUUACAAUUUUCCUUUUAUUAGACUCAUUAGACAUUAUUUCUAAGCAUAAACUUUUAUUAUGGUAUUUUGCACUUGAACAUUUGGGACAAUUGUACUGAAUAUUUUGGUUGAUAAAAAAAGUACAUUAGACUUU